rnacentral:tRNA from 1 species
GGCUAGGUAGCUCAGUUGGUUAGAGCACACGACUCAUAAUCGUGGGGUCGGGGGUUCAAGUCCCCCCCUCGCCACCA